AUUGAACGCUGGCGGCAGGCCUAACACAUGCAAGUCGAGCGGAUGAAGGGAGCUUGCUCCUGGAUUCAGCGGCGGACGGGUGAGUAAUGCCUAGGAAUCUGCCUGGUAGUGGGGGAUAACGUCCGGAAACGGGCGCUAAUACCGCAUACGUCCUGAGGGAGAAAGUGGGGGAUCUUCGGACCUCACGCUAUCAGAUGAGCCUAGGUCGGAUUAGCUAGUUGGUGGGGUAAAGGCCUACCAAGGCGACGAUCCGUAACUGGUCUGAGAGGAUGAUCAGUCACACUGGAACUGAGACACGGUCCAGACUCCUACGGGAGGCAGCAGUGGGGAAUAUUGGACAAUGGGCGAAAGCCUGAUCCAGCCAUGCCGCGUGUGUGAAGAAGGUCUUCGGAUUGUAAAGCACUUUAAGUUGGGAGGAAGGGCAGUAAGUUAAUACCUUGCUGUUUUGACGUUACCAACAGAAUAAGCACCGGCUAACUUCUUG
rnacentral:rRNA from 1 species